CCUACGGGUGGCAGCAGUGGGGAAUAUUGCACAAUGGGCGCAAGCCUGAUGCAGCCAUGCCGCGUGUAUGAAGAAGGCCUUCGGGUUGUAAAGUACUUUCGGCGGGGAGGAAGGCGAUAAGGUUAAUAACCUUGUCGAUUGACGUUACCCGCAGAAGAAGCACCGGCUAACUCCGUGCCAGCAGCCGCGGUAAUACGGAGGGUGCAAGCGUUAAUCGGAAUUACUGGGCGUAAAGCGCACGCAGGCGGUCUGUCAAGUCGGAUGUGAAAUCCCCGGGCUCAACCUCGGAAUUGCAUUUGAAACUGGCAGGCUAGAGUCUUGUAGAGGGGGGUAGAAUUUCAGGUGUAGCGGUGAAAUGCGUAGAGAUCUGAAGGAAUACCAGUGGCGAAGGCGGCCCCCUGGACAAAGACUGACGCUCAGAUGCGAAAGCGUGGGGAGCAAACAGGAUUAGAUACCCGCGUAGUC
rnacentral:rRNA from 1 species